UGUGCGAUCUAUCGCAUGCAUGGUGAAUUCUUCUGUUAUUCCAUUCUUUAUUAUUAUGUUGGAAUAACCUGUCUAUGUGGAUUACCACAUGCAUGGUGAAUGAUCCUUUGUAUUCAUAUGAAUUGUAUUUUCAUUCAAAAAGGGGUUUCUGCCAGGGGCAAUUUCAUAAUUUUUCUGACCCUCAAAAAUUCUGAAAAAAUUUGAAAUGAUA
rnacentral:lncRNA from 1 species